AACGAACGCUGGCGGCAUGCCUAACACAUGCAAGUCGAACGGGACCUUCGGGUCUAGUGGCGCACGGGUGCGUAACGCGUGGGAACCUGCCCUUAGGUUCGGAAUAACUCCCCGAAAGGGGUGCUAAUACCGGAUAAUGUCUUCGGACCAAAGAUUUAUCGCCUUUGGAUGGGCCCGCGUUGGAUUAGCUAGUUGGUAGGGUAAAAGCCUACCAAGGCGACGAUCCAUAGCUGGUCUGAGAGGAUGAUCAGCCACACUGGGACUGAGACACGGCCCAGACUCCUACGGGAGGCAGCAGUGGGGAAUAUUGGACAAUGGGCGAAAGCCUGAUCCAGCAAUGCCGCGUGAGUGAUGAAGGCCUUAGGGUUGUAAAGCUCUUUUACCCGGGAUGAUAAUGACAGUACCGGGAGAAUAAGCGCCGGCUAACUCCGUG
rnacentral:rRNA from 1 species